rnacentral:rRNA from 1 species
GACGAACGCUGGCGGCGUGCUUAACACAUGCAAGUCGAACGGAAAGGCCCUGCUUUUGUGGGGUGCUCGGGUGGCGAACGGGUGAGUAACACGUGAGUAACCUGCCCUUGACUUUGGGAUAACUUCAGGAAACUGGGGCUAAUACCGGAUAGGAGCUCCUGCUGCAUGGUGGGGGUUGGAAAGUUUCGGCGGUUGGGGAUGGACUCGCGGCUUAUGAGCUUGUUGGUGGGGUAGUGGCUUACGAAGGCUUUGACGGGUAGCCGGCCUGAGAGGGUGACCGGCCACAUUGGGACUGAUAUACGGCCCAGACUCCUACGGGAGGCAGCAGUGGGGAAUAUUGCACAAUGGGCGGAAGCCGGAUGCAGCAACGCCGCGUGCGGGAUGACGGCCUUCGGGUUGUAAACCGCUUUCGCCUGGGACGAAGCGUGAGUGACGGUAAUUGGUAAAGAAGCACCGGCUAACUACGUG